AAUAUUUCCUCUGGUGUCACUACAUAGGCUCCCCUGUCCCUUAGCUCAUGCCAGCCUGCACACCCCUCCAGAGUCUGAUGUGUGAACGUGUUUCCGUGGAAGAGAGGCCCCUGUGCAGCUGCCCUAGAGACCCUCCAUGGACACAGGGGACCUCGAGGCCUGUGUGAAGGAUCAUGACUCCUGUUAUGAGAAGAAAAAGAUCAUAAAGAGUUGAAACACGGGAGUCACAGCAUAACCACCUGCAGCCAAUAAAUUCUACUGGAUUUCCCCAUCAGUGGGCUCCACAGCACCCACAGGGGCAUCUGGCCAUCAACAAGGGAGAGCCACGAGUAUCACUUCCACUGACUGCAGCUUUGAAGUGUGUCCAUAAUCAGCAGUCAUGAGGAACCCCCACUCUGGGUGUGGUGUCCAUCACAGAGGAUCCUUUUGUCAUGUCCUCUGGCAUCCAUUCUGCUUGUGAGAAGCACAAAGGUCUUUUGUUGGGGAGGCCUGCCAUGUCACGUCCGGGGGAACAGAUCCUCCAGGCGUGUUGCUUCUCCUCGUGUCCAGGUGCAUCCAGUUCACGCCUUUCCAUCCUCUGAGUCCCCACCGAAGCUGCAGACCAAGGCCGAGGCAUCUCGUGGCUCACCGUCUCUGAGGACCUCAGGAGAAUCUGGAGCUUCUGGGACGAGUGUUCCUCUCCAAAUGUGGCAUGUGAAAUUCCAGCAGUUAUGGAGACCCCUGACAUGUGGCUAAUGCUAAUGAUGCUGCUAUGAAAUAGAUGGAAAUAUCCUCCUGAUUCUUCUCUGCUUUGACCCUGCAUGAGACACAUCCCCAGCCAGGACAGAUGUCUGAUCUUGAUUUCUGCCCCAACCCUGUCUGUGGAAAGUGAAUACUAAGCAAACCUCCAGGUGCAGCUGUGGUGAGAGAGGAAUGUGGGGUCCUAAGCGGUGUGCCUGGUGGGGGUGAGGUUUACUUUUAGAAAUUUGACACUUGCAUUGAUUUGCCUAAGUGAGAAUGUCUUCUGAUGGAACACACACACUCAACGCACCCACUCAUACAAUCACAUCACAUCCAGUCACACAGGAACAAACCCAGCCUCCUAUAGACAACCUGUAUCUCCUAAAUGACCUACUUGCUUCCAGAGUCUGUAGAGCUGGACAAUCAUUUUUUCUCACAACCACACCCUCCAUUCCCAGUAGGAACCCAGGAUCAGGGAAGCUCUCCAGAGCAAAGCAGAGGGGAAAGACCCACCUUGUUCAUAAGCUAGAUUGUUCCUUGAGAAGUGACAGAUGUUGGAAUACAUAAAGCCACCAUCUUGGGCUGCCUCCUGCUGCAGUUAGAGAGAGGGAAACACUAUAAGGAUCACAUCACCCUGUGCACAUCAUCUGCACAUAUCCUUUGUUCUCUUGGUGACAUUAGUAAGGCAGCAGAGAUCUAGUCAUUGAGUCAGUGAUCACAAAAAAAAAAAAAAAAAAAAAGCUCAAUGUGACCUGCAGAAACUUUAAAUGUCAGAUCUCACAGGUCCAGUUUGAUCAGCAAACACAAAACUAUGGAGGAAGAUUAUUUCCUGGAAAAUGCUUGCUACCAUUUGUUGUGUAACCGGUGUUCUUAAAGCCCCUCUAAAUAUGGUGUCAGUUGGUGAUUGAAACUCAGGGCCACUGUCAGCACCAAGGAAAUUGUAUAUACCUUCUGGGAUGCACAUGCUUGGAAGUUCAUGUCUUAAAUCCAUGAAUAUGAAAAUAAAGCAUCAGUUGCAUUUAACACAGA